GCGGGAGUGGCGGAAUUGGUAGACGCAUACGUUUGAGGGGCGUAUGGGGAAACCCGUGUGAGUUCAAAUCUCAUCCCCCGCACCA
rnacentral:tRNA from 1 species